GACGAACGCUGGCGGCGUGCCUAAUACAUGCAAGUCGUGCGGACCUUUUAAAAGCUUGCUUUUAAAAGGUUAGCGGCGGACGGGUGAGUAACACGUGGGCAACCUGCCUGUAAGACUGGGAUAACGCCGGGAAACCGGGGCUAAUACCAGAUCGUUUUUUCCUCCGCAUGGAGGAAAAAGGAAAGGCGGCUUCGGCUGCCACUUACAGAUGGGCCCGCGGCGCAUUAGCUAGUUGGCGGGGUAACGGCCCACCAAGGCAACGAUGCGUAGCCGACCUGAGAGGGUGAUCGGCCACAUUGGGACUGAGACACGGCCCAAACUCCUACGGGAGGCAGCAGUAGGGAAUCUUCCGCAAUGGACGAAAGUCUGACGGAGCAACGCCGCGUGAGUGAAGAAGGCCUUCGGGUCGUAAAACUCUGCUGCCGGGGAAGAACAAGUGCCGUUCGAACAGGGCGGCGCCUUGACGGUACCCGGCCAGAAAGCCACGGCUAACUACGUG
rnacentral:rRNA from 1 species